AGAGUUUGAUCAUGGCUCAGGACGAACGCUGGCGGCGUGCCUAAUACAUGCAAGUCGAGCGGACAGAUGGGAGCUUGCUCCCUGAUGUUAGCGGCGGACGGGUGAGUAACACGUGGGUAACCUGCCUGUAAGACUGGGAUAACUCCGGGAAACCGGGGCUAAUACCGGAUGGUUGUUUGAACCGCAUGGUUCAAACAUAAAAGGUGGCUUCGGCUACCACUUACAGAUGGACCCGCGGCGCAUUAGCUAGUUGGUGAGGUAANGGCUCACCAAGGCAACGAUGCGUAGCCGACCUGAGAGGGUGAUCGGCCACACUGGGACUGAGACACGGCCCAGACUCCUACGGGAGGCAGCAGUAGGGAAUCUUCCGCAAUGGACGAAAGUCUGACGGAGCAACGCCGCGUGAGUGAUGAAGGUUUUCGGAUCGUAAAGCUCUGUUGUUAGGGAAGAACAAGUACCGUUCGAAUAGGGCGGUACCUUGACGGUACCUAACCAGAAAGCCACGGCUAACUACGUGCCAGCAGCCGCGGUAAUACGUAGGUGGCAAGCGUUGUCCGGAAUUAUUGGGCGUAAAGGGCUCGCAGGCGGUUUCUUAAGUCUGAUGUGAAAGCCCCCGGCUCAACCGGGGAGGGUCAUUGGAAACUGGGGAACUUGAGUGCAGAAGAGGAGAGUGGAAUUCCACGUGUAGCGGUGAAAUGCGUAGAGAUGUGGAGGAACACCAGUGGCGAAGGCGACUCUCUGGUCUGUAACUGACGCUGAGGAGCGAAAGCGUGGGGAGCGAACAGGAUUAGAUACCCUGGUAGUCCACGCCGUAAACGAUGAGUGCUAAGUGUUAGGGGGUUUCCGCCCCUUAGUGCUGCAGCUAACGCAUUAAGCACUCCGCCUGGGGAGUACGGUCGCAAGACUGAAACUCAAAGGAAUUGACGGGGGCCCGCACAAGCGGUGGAGCAUGUGGUUUAAUUCGAAGCAACGCGAAGAACCUUACCAGGUCUUGACAUCCUCUGACAAUCCUAGAGAUAGGACGUCCCCUUCGGGGGCAGAGUGACAGGUGGUGCAUGGUUGUCGUCAGCUCGUGUCGUGAGAUGUUGGGUUAAGUCCCGCAACGAGCGCAACCCUUGAUCUUAGUUGCCAGCAUUCAGUUGGGCACUCUAAGGUGACUGCCGGUGACAAACCGGAGGAAGGUGGGGAUGACGUCAAAUCAUCAUGCCCCUUAUGACCUGGGCUACACACGUGCUACAAUGGACAGAACAAAGGGCAGCGAAACCGCGAGGUUAAGCCAAUCCCACAAAUCUGUUCUCAGUUCGGAUCGCAGUCUGCAACUCGACUGCGUGAAGCUGGAAUCGCUAGUAAUCGCGGAUCACAUGCCGGGUGAAAAAACGGUCCCCGGGCCUUGUACACACCGCCCGUCACACCACGAGAGUUUGUAACACCCGAAGUCGGUGAGGUAACCUUU
rnacentral:rRNA from 1 species